UGAUACUGUCAUCACAAAUAUACCCCCUUUUAUUUUGAUACACACGCUUUAAUAGUGUACUGUUAUUUUCAUAAUUAUGAAAAAUGGAACUUGAUGCAAUUAGCCCCAAAAUAUGGCUAAAUAUUGACUAAAGCUGAAAUCAGCUGACAAACCCUUGUACCACUGCUCAUCAAGGUGAUAGCUGAGCUACUAAAUGACAAAAUAUGAAGAAUCACUGUCACAGUCUCACAGAAUUUAUGGGAAAUCCAGCCCAAGUUUUCAUUCAUUCAUUCCUGCCACUAUACACACAGGAUGGAUGUGCCUUUUCUCCACUAGUGUUUUAUUUUUGCACUGCAUUCAUAUUCAUAAAUGAGCCUUUGCUUCCAUACUUUCCCUUCCAUUCAUCAGUGUUAAGUCAAGGGGACAUAUAGCCACCUCUACAACUUGUAAAAUUGCUUGUUAUUUUUUCUUUUAGAUAUCAUAAUAUUAGUGGGUUGUUAAUCAUGUGGUGGAUAAAACCUCUUCAUGGCCUGGAUUUUCAAGCUAGCCUAGUGGACGUGGAAUUCACAUACCUUUCGCCCACAAUAGUCUACUAUUGUUCAUCAAGUCAUUGCACUUGUCUCCUUGUGGAGCAUCUAGGAAGGCUCUUUGAGUGUGGUAAUUAUGUUUCAUUUUUCUGCAGGAAGAACGCAAACAUCUGAUUGGUUGCCAUGGGUUACUGCCCAGGUGCAAGAGCAACAUUCAUGCACUUUGUGCUUCAUGGAAGCUGUACAAGUGGAUAUAAUUGCCACUAAACUUUUGCUGGAUCAAAAAAUCAGGCACUUAGUGCGGAGACAAGUGUCACAUGGAAUCCAAAUUGGAGCACAGAGGCUGGCAGCAAGUUACACAGGGUGGGACCCAGCCUGAAAAGUGCAUUGUAAAUGAGCACAAGGAAGAUGAAUAGAAAAGGUCUAAAUAGAAAGAUAAAUAAUAAAAUGUAACAAUAAGUUGUA